AUCCUCAGAAGUUUUUGAACACACUCUCGUUUUUUCUUCUUCUUCUUCCAAAUUCACCAUAAAAAAUUAAACACAAUCGUCUCAAUCGCCUUUUUUCCACAAACGAUCUUUCAACCACACUCUCGAACCACUUUUGAAGAAAAAUGUCUGUAUGAUCACUUAACUUCUGUUUUCUCCCAAAUCUCCCGAAGAUCAUAUAUUAGGGGGGUUUUAAACAAAGAUUCUGACCCAUCAAAGUUGAACUUGGGUGUAGGUGCAAGUCCCCACCUUUUAGAAAUAGCAGGUAUGCUCUCUAUGGUUUGUUAUAAAGCAAAUCGGAAUGUUCACAUUUACGGGGCUGAAUGCUGACCAAGUUGCUUUCAUGACUAAAGAAUAUCACAUCUACAUGACUUCAGAUGGAUGCCAUGCAUGCUGCUGUAACCGAUAUGCCGUAAACCAGUAUCUUGUUAAAAGUUCAAACAGUUUUCAUUUCAGGUUUCCUUGUAAGCGCGGCAUGUUUAUAUUCGACUUAUAUUUAGAAAACUAUGUACAAUA